rnacentral:rRNA from 1 species
UACGUAGGGGGCAAGCGUUGUCCGGAUUUAUUGGGCGUAAAGAGCGUGUAGGCGGUUUGGUAGGUCCGCUGUGAAAACUCGAGGCUCAACCUCGAGACGCCGGUGGAAACCAUCAGGCUAGAGUCCGGAAGAGGAGAGUGGAAUUCCUGGUGUAGCGGUGGAAUGCGCAGAUAUCAGGAGGAACACCGAUGGCGAAGGCAGAUCUCUGGGCCGUAACUGACGCUGAGGAGCGAAAGCAUGGGGAGCGAACAGG